UGGUGUACUGUAAAUUCUUAUAUUACAGCACGAUAUUCACAUUAUAUUCUAGAAAACAUGCUUUGAGUCAACAUCUAUAAUCACGAGAGACCAGCUGUUGGACUUGAAGCUCAUUCAUGCCACGUGUACGAAGCAAAUGGUUAAUUAUUAUCCCAGUGUAAUGUAAGCAUGAUUAUCUUUAAAUAACAUACAAGUUAAUUAUCCACAGUAAUAAAUUGAAAAAUAGAUCUUGGCAUGAAUAUAUUUAGACAAGUUGAAUGAAACAUGUACAAUAAUUU
rnacentral:misc_RNA from 1 species